GUGGAACCUUCCGACAACCUCCAGCUUCCGCCAACCUCCAGCUUCCGCCCUGGCAACGCCUGGCCCUUCCUUCUCCUCUGAGCCAGCAUCAGAGGUCACGGGGCUGCACGCAGUAAACAGGAAUUUGUGCAGAGCCAGCUCUACAUCCCACCAUGGCAAAUGGGAAGCUGAGGGGGUAAAUGCUGCCUGAGAUGACGGUGUUUCCAGAAACCCUAGCUGUGCUUCUUUGGCCUAGCAGCUUUGAAAAAGCUCUGUCCUCGCAUCCUGGGCAGCCAGAUCCACCAAGGCCCUCGGAAGGACCAGGCGGGGUUUCCGAGGUGAUGCUCACGGACAUCUUGGAUGACACUGGUUACCACUGCUGGGGAAAAGCACAUCUUCAGCUGGCCGGGCUGGCCGCGGGCUGUGCCUCCCCCGAGCCGGGUGGGUUGUUCAGCGCCACAGUGACAUAGCUGCCUUUCAGUCACCCAGGCUCCCGCAAGUAACCCCUCACCCGUCCUUCUGCCAAGUAACCCCAGUAAACUCCCCAGUUCACUAAGCAAGACUUGGGCGGGACAGCUUCUUUGGUCUGCUAUGGUGCCCUACCUGGGGUCAACAGACAGCAAAGGUUAUGCAACACUGACAAAUAGAAGCACAGCCACAAAUGUUCUGCGCAACCAUUUAUACACAUGUGUGUGAAUUUCAAGUACAAGGUUACCAAGCACUGAUCAAUUCAUGGACACUAACUGCGAAGAGAACAAUAAAGCCUGAAACCUGAAAGGCCAAGUCUGACUGAGCCAAGCCCCCAGCCUCUGCCCCGCGCCUGCUGUGGGGCUGGGGGGGGCCACACUAGGCUCCCCGCAGCCCUCUCUGGCUCAAGAGGACACAGUGGCAAAACCUAGUGCCAGCGACCAUGGGAGAAAACAAGGGAGCCGGAGCAUCACUUGUUCCUUCACGAAGGCAAAGAGACGAAGAAACUAGCAGUCUCCUCUCCCAGAGCAAGGAUGGUGAGCUCUGCUGUCUUGGUCCCUAACUUCUGCUCCCUGACACAGGCUCCUCGAAAACCCACAGCCCUGUAAUGGGGAGGUGGAGCAGAGAGCCACAGAAAACUGUGUGCCCACAAACGAAGUCAUCUCGCGGGAAAGGAAGACUGACUGGAGGGUCGCAAACUGCCAAGAACAGACUCAAGAAGAAACUGAAGGUAUAAAUAGACUAGAAACCAAGAAAAAGACCAAUAAAUCAAAAAGUUCCCAUACAAAAAGCCCAGGACCAGAGGGCCGCUUUGACUAAGUAUUAUUCUUUCAAAAGAUGCUGCGUAUUUCUUUUCAUUUCUGUCUUUGAACACUUCCCCUGGGCUGAGGAUGGAGCUCAGUGGGCAGAAUGUUUGCCCAGCAGGUACGAAGCCCCGGGUUCCAUCCCCAGCACCACACGAAACUGGGCGUGGCGACACAGGCCUGUGAUCACAGCCCUUGAGAGGUAGAGGCAGGAGGACCAGAAAUUCAAGGUCAUUCUUGCCUACAUGAGGCUAGCCUGGGCUAUAUGAGACCCCAUCUCAAACAAAACAAUGCCCCUGCUCCAAUCUCUUUGAAUACGCCACUGUUCUAUUUUCAAGUGAAUAUCAUUGUUCUUUUCUCUCCCCCUCCCAACAAACAUACAAAAAAAUUUUCAAAUUCAACACCAAAAAGACAAUCCAGGUUAAAAAUGGACAAAGGGGGCUGGAGAGAAGGCUUAGGGGUUAAGGUGUAUGCCUGCAAAGCCUAAGGACCCAGGUUUGAUUCUCCAGGUCCCAUGUAAGCCAGAUGCCCAUGGUGGUGCGUGCAUCUGGAGUUCGUUUGCAGGAGGGGGAGGCCCUGGCGCGCCCGUUCUCACUCUGUCUCUCUCCAGCACGUCUAGCAGUGAUCAGUGGACCCCGGCAGUGGCAGUGUGAAAGGCUUGAAGAGUGAAGACGGGGGAAUAUCUCCACUGAAGAAACUCUCUGACAGACACUGAAAACCACUUCAGAGGACAGCAAUUGACUCCAACCAGUAAAUCAUUGUCUAUGCUUUGCUCAGAGAAGUUUUGAGUCAAUCAGAACACCUUAAUUAAAAUAAUAAGAUGAACAUUUACCAUUAGGGAACUGAGGAGCAGAACCAGAGUGUGUCAGCAUUCCACAGCCACCAACGGAGAUGGUGAGGAACUGGAGCCCUUGUACGUUGCAGGUAUAAAAUCGCACCAUCACAAAUGCACAGUUAUAUAGUUAGUUGGAAAACAGCUUAGCAAUAUCUCAAAAGGUUUAACAUGAGCUUAUCAUAUGACCCAGAAAUUCCAGCUCAGGAUAUGCUCAAAAAAUGAGAAAAUUUUAAAAAAAGAAAAUGUAUGUUCCUACAAAACUUAUAGAUUCAUGGGGAGGUAAUAUGA